UACGUAGGGUGCGAGCGUUGUCCGGAAUUAUUGGGGCGUAAAGGGCUCGUAGGCGGUUUGUCGCGUCUGCUGUGAAAACCCGAGGCUCAACCUCGGGCCUGCAGUGGGUACGGGCAGACUAGAGUGCGGUAGGGGAGAUUGGAAUUCCUGGUGUAGCGGUGAAAUGCGCAGAUAUCAGGAGGAACACCGAUGGCGAAGGCAGGUCUCUGGGCCACUACUGACGCUGAGAAGCGAAAGCAUGGGGAGCGAACAGG
rnacentral:rRNA from 1 species